rnacentral:lncRNA from 1 species
AAAGUACUUGUUUUAUAUGUCUAGAACAUACCUUGGCAUGAUUUGAAAUUAGAAUAAGUCAAUAUUUUUACUUUCUUUUUUAAGAUUGUAAAGUAUUAUAUGGUUCGAUUGUUACAGAAUCAUGGCUUUACAUAGAGUAUGCCACCACAGAGAUCUUAUGACUAGGGUGUCACAUAAAGAUAACUGGCCCAACUUAGUAUGCCUCCUUAUUGAAUGAUCAUAGUUCCAAACAACUGCUAUGAUCCCAUGAUGUUGAGAAAGUUGGUGCAUUAAGUAUGCAUGGACUGCGUAUACUCCCUUGCCCCAUUGAUAUAUUCUCUAUUUUUCCUAUCAAAAACAAAAGAGGAGUAUAUAUGAACUACAAUAUUUGUGGCUACAUUUAGUCCUCUUUCCUCUCUUUUAAUAAGUGGAAUGAGGAGGAAAAAUGUGACCCUGUAGUUUAGACUUCUAGUGAUAUUACUGAUAAGAAGAGAUUAGUAAAUUGUGAAUGUGGAAAAUGGAUUUUAGAGAUGAGGGAUACAUGGACAUGGAUAUGUCCAUGUGGAAAAAUAUGUUUGGUGGAUACACUGAUAGACAUGUCCAUUCUGAAGUAAAAAGAGGGGUCCAUCAGUGUUGCUGUCCUGUCUUCUCAAGAAUCUAAAGAAAAUGAGGAAGCUUAUUCUCUAAAGAAGUGAUUUUCAUUACAGUGUAUCUGCUGUACACUAGAUGGCUUAAAUAGAGUUGAUUACUAACUAAUCUUCUAAAAGAGUACUAACCAACCUUCUAAUGGAUUUCUAACAACUCUAAUAUAGAAGCAACAAGUGUCCUGGUUGUUUUAACAACUUAAUACAACUACUAGCCUUGACAUGUCUAGAACAAAUGUAGUAGAUGAUGAAAAUGACUACUGGUUGUAGUUGGAUGCACUUCAAUAUAUAUAUAUUUUUAAUAGAAAAUAAUGCAUAUAGCACCAAAAGGAUGCACUGAAGUAUACAGGAGUUGAAUGCACUUGAAUAUAAUAUCCAUGGAUGGAUAUUUGGGAAAAGGGAGAUGUGGACACGACCAUUCUGAAGUAAAAAGAGAGGGAUCCAUCAGUAUUGCUGUUCUUUCCAGAACAAAUAUAGUAUGAUGAAGAAAAUGACUACCAGUUGUAGUUAUAUGCACUUGAAUAAAAUAUCCAUGUGGUAAAAGAUUGUUGGUGAAUGCAUUGAUGGCUGAAGCUCCUACAACAAAUUUGACGAUGUUUGAGGUAGAUGAGGGGGACCCUUCUGCUGGGCCUUAAAACCUUGCAUACUUUUAUACUCUGCAAACAACGACCAUAUUCAAAGGAAAUAGCAUAUGUGGUCUUAAUUAAAUGUUGAUACCCAGAUUGAGAUCUCUAAUAUCUAUUAGCUUCAUUAUAUGUUUGCCAAAGUUUUAUUCAAAGUUUCAAUGUUCUCUAUUAAUUUCCACUUUUCUUAAAUUGAUAAUACAUGAUUCAUACCUCCAUUGAAAUCUGUGUUUUUAGAACCUUGAUUCGAUGGUUAAUAUCAACAUGUUUUUAUUUUUUGUUGCUGACAACCAAAAGGUUGGAAAUUAGCUAUUAUGCUCAUCAAUGCAUUAUGGAUUGUGUAAACACCAAGAUGACCAUUCCAGUGAGGCCAAGAUUAAAGAAACUGGGUAGGCUUACCAUUCUAAAAUCAAUGCAUCUUCCUUGUCAGCUAGAGUCCCGACAAUGUUGACACUUGUCCCCACUAAAGAGGGAAGACUAUUGCACUCAAGAUGAAGAAGGUUCACCAAGGUCCAGAUAA